CACGUUUAUAAUCAUAACUCUUUUGAUUUUGUGGCUGCUAUACAUGAUAAUGCAAAUAAAAACUACAAUGUCAAUUUGACAGUGUACAGAAGUUUGACAACCUAGUGGAAAUUUGCGCAACCAUCCCCUCAGGGUUAUACCAUUGAUUUCGUUGUUAUUGGGCUUAUGACUUUACCUUCUAAUUUUACCAAGCACAGAUCUGUUGUAAAAAUAAUCCUUUUAUGCAAAGGCCCCUUACUUUUAACCUUGUCUAUAUACAACUCUGUUAAGCAUCAUGACUAGCGUGGGUAGGAUUGGAGAAUUUUUUUUGUUUUUUUUUUUGCUGCAACUCCCGCUGGAGGACCGGGACGUCCCAUGAUCUGACUACUCCUGAUCAACAGAAUAAUGAAAACUGAACUCCUGAUCAGCGGGUUACUGAAUAUUGGAAAUGUUCAUGAAAUUUAAGUUAACCAAGGCCAGACCAAAAGCGGUAUCGGAUUGUGCAUCGGUUGUAGGCUUUACUUGUAGAAAUAUCGACAGAUGGAUCUACGCAGUGUUAACAAAACAAUACUCCAUUUAGCGAUUGGGUGUAUUGGUCCCCAAUGGAAGCUUGUCGAAGAUCGCUCACUAACUACCCUGCAAGUAUGUGGUUGCAAAACAACUUCCUACUGGAUAAAAUAAUGAAAUUGUGGAUGACUGACAUCCCAUUAUCUGACUACUCCUGAUAAACGUCCCACUGAAAACUGAAUGUAGAAAAUGUUCCCAAACUCCUGAUCAACGGGUUACUGAAUAUUGGAAAUGUUCAUGAAGCUUAUGUUAACCAAGGCCAGACUAAAAGAAGCAAACUCUUCUAGAAGAAUUUUCCUCGUUCCUGUCUGAAAAUGUGGACUAGACAUUCCAUAUGCUAAUGAAAAUGGUUAAAUUGAAAAAGCGGUGUCUGAAGCGUUACAACUUAAGAAAUAAAUAUGAUGAUACUGUGCAGAGCAAUGCUGUGGAAUGUGCAUCGGAUGUAGCCUUAACUUAUGGAAAUAUCAACAGAUGGAUCUGCGCAGUUUUAACACAAAACCCCACCUACUUCUAGCACUGAGAAGAUAUUAAUUGUUUGGCCCAUUCUACAUUUGGGCUUUCUUAAUGCUUUGACAAGGACGUCGGAUAUUUUGAAAGAUUUACAUAUUUGUGGAACCAGUCUUCCAACUGUAAAAAUAAUAUUGUCUUUGUUGUUGUAGCUGUAUGUUGUACACAGAGGCGGCAGCCUUUGGCAAUGAAGGACCCCAUCGUGUCAAUCCGGUACGUACAACCGGCUGCCAUGGGAUAUUGUUGUUUAAGGCCUUUGAACGGCCCUCGGAACUUUGAGGCCUAAAAAAAGAAAGACUGAAUUAAUUUCCAGCCUUAAAGAAAAUAAGAUUACCCAAGUUCAUUGACCAUCUCAAAAAUUGUACUAAGCAUUUUAUAUUUUAUGACAAAAAAUUAAAAA
rnacentral:sRNA from 1 species